GACGAACGCUGGCGGCGUGCCUAAUACAUGCAAGUCGAACGCAGUUGCGAACGGGUGAGUAACGCGUAGGUAACUGCCUCAUAGCGGGGGAUAACUAUUGGAAACGAUAGCUAAUACCACAUACUGUGAGAUGGACCUGCGUUGUAUUAGCUAGUUGGUGAGGUAAAGGCUCACCAAGGCGACGAUACAUAGCCGACCUGAGAGGGUGGUCGGGCCACCUUGGACUGAGACCCGGCCCAGGCUCCUACGGGGGGCAGCCGGAGGGAAACUUCGGUAAUGGGCGGAAGUCUGACCGAGCAACGGCGCGGGGGUGAAGAAGGUUUUCGGAGCGUAAAGCUCUGUUGUGAGAGAAGCGGUACCUAACCAGAAAGGGACGGCUAACUACGUGCCAGCAGCCGCGGUAAUAC
rnacentral:rRNA from 1 species